CAAUAGCGUAUAUUAAUGUUGUUGCAGUUAAAAAGCUCGUAGUUGGAUUUCUGGUGGGAGCGGCCGGUCCGCCGUAAGGUGUGUACUUGGUUGUCUCCUGUCAUCCUUGUGGGAACUGCUCUGGCAUUAAGUUGUCGGGGUUAGGGAACACAUCGUUUACUGUGAAAAAAUUAGAGUGUUUAAAGCAGGCUUAUGCCGUUGAAUACAUUAGCAUGGAAUAAUAAGAUAGGACUUUGGCGUCUAUUUUGUUGGUUUGCACACCAACGUAAUGAUUAAUAGGGAUAGUUGGGGGUAUUCGUAUUUAAUUGUCAGAGGUGAAAUUCUUGGAUUUAUGAAAGACGAACUUCUGCGAAAGCAUUUACCAAAGAUGUUUUCAUUAA
rnacentral:rRNA from 1 species